AAAAGGCCGCGUCCGCGCCGCAUCAAAUCAGUUAGCUAGCGACUGCCAUAGCGAUAGGUUCUCCGACUGUCCUUUGGCGAGUCUCGUUGGCUCGGGAGUUCGAUAGCCCACCUGCAGUCUUCUCCCGAUCCACCCUAGGAAGUACCUACCAGUUUGAAUGACCUGCUAUGUAUGCAAUGUACCUUUACCUAAGUACCUAUCUUUAAUAAAUAUACACGUUGA